AUUGAACGCUGGCGGCAGGCCUAACACAUGCAAGUCGAACGGUAGCACAGAGAGCUUGCUCUCGGGUGACGAGUGGCGGACGGGUGAGUAACGUCUGGGAAACUGCCCGAUGGAGGGGGAUAACUACUGGAAACGGUAGCUAAUACCGCAUAACGUCGCAAGACCAAAGUGGGGGACCUUCGGGCCUCACACCAUCGGAUGUGCCCAGAUGGGAUUAGCUAGUAGGUGGGGUAAUGGCUCACCUAGGCGACGAUCCCUAGCUGGUCUGAGAGGAGUACCGGCCACACUGGAACUGGGACACGGUCCAGACUCCUACGGGAGGCAGCAGUGGGGAAUAUUGCACAAUGGGCGCAAGCCUGAUGCAGCCAUGCCGCGUGUAUGAAGAAGGCCUUCGGGUUGUAAAGUACUUUCAGCGGGGAGGAAGGCGGUGAAGUUAAUAACUUCACCGAUUGACGUUACCCGCAGAAGAAGCACCGGCUAACUCCGUGCCAGCCGCCGCAGUAA
rnacentral:rRNA from 1 species